rnacentral:rRNA from 1 species
ACCAUGACAAGUCGAGCGGUAAGGCCUUUCGGGGUACACGAGCGGCGAACGGGUGAGUAACACGUGGGUGAUCUGCCCUGCACUCUGGGAUAAGCUUGGGAAACUGGGUCUAAUACCGGAUAUGACCGCAUGCCGCAUGGUGUGUGGUGGAAAGAUUUAUCGGUGCAGGAUGGGCCCGCGGCCUAUCAGCUUGUUGGUGGGGUAAUGGCCUACCAAGGCGACGACGGGUAGCCGACCUGAGAGGGUGACCGGCCACACUGGGACUGAGACACGGCCCAGACUCCUACGGGAGGCAGCAGUGGGGAAUAUUGCACAAUGGGCGGAAGCCUGAUGCAGCGACGCCGCGUGAGGGAUGAAGGCCUUCGGGUUGUAAACCUCUUUCAGCAGGGACGAAGCGUGAGUGACGGUACCUGCAGAAGAAGCACCGGCUAACUACGUGCCAGCAGCCGCGGUAAUACGUAGGGUGCGAGCGUUGUCCGGAAUUACUGGGCGUAAAGAGUUCGUAGGCGGUUUGUCGCGUCGUUUGUGAAAACCCGGGGCUCAACUUCGGGCUUGCAGGCGAUACGGGCAGACUUGAGUGUUUCAGGGGAGACUGGAAUUCCUGGUGUAGCGGUGAAAUGCGCAGAUAUCAGGAGGAACACCGGUGGCGAAGGCGGGUCUCUGGGAAACAACUGACGCUGAGGAACGAAAGCGUGGGUAGCAAACAGGAUUAGAUACCCUGGUAGUCCACGCCGUAAACGGUGGGCGCUAGGUGUGGGUUCCUUCCACGGGAUCUGUGCCGUAGCUAACGCAUUAAGCGCCCCGCCUGGGGAGUACGGCCGCAAGGCUAAACUCAAAGGAAUUGACGGGGGCCCGCACAAGCGGCGGAGCAUGUGGAUUAAUUCGAUGCAACGCGAGAACCUUACCUGGGUUUGACAUACACCGGAAAACCGU